CACCACAAACGAAGAUACAGACGGAGCAGUAAUCGUUUUUUUCGGUCGCACCUACUUUCGCAAGCCCCUCUUGUAUUAUGUAAUUGCGCUUUGGUGAACCCCUUGAACGGGCGAAAACUCAGCGAACUGUCAUGCGACUUGUCACUGAGCGAACUGUCAAGCGACUUGCUUGUUUAUAAACAUUGAAAGUGUUCUGCUUUUUGCUCCCCCAAAAAUCAAGCCGGUCGGGGUAGAAUUCCGAAACACCGGAAAAAUAGAACCUCCGGAAAGCUUCGAUCCUCUCCUCAACGGACGGAGUGAACGACGACGGGUACAUUUUCGAUCCGGCAUUCGUAGAGUACGUGAAGGCGCAAACGAACCGGCUAGGAGCGCAUCAUGUGCGACGGAGGGUUCUUCGUGAAUAACAACUCAGGAGAUUAUCUCGAAGCAGCUGUACUUGUAGUGCUACUGGCAUUGGCAGUGAUCCGAGCAGGAGGGAACUUUAAUAUGAAGGUGUUUGACCUGAUCAAAUCCUAUGGAAAGUGCCUAUCGUAAAGCCAGCUUUUAGUCGGCAGGCCAUCUCGGAGCCGACUUCAACGACAACGAUUGAGGAGGCUUCUUUCUUCAAUCGACAAUCCGGAUCAAACGAUCGGUGCAUGGACGCUGUGGCGUCACUGAAAGUUGUUACAAAAAACGUCUCGCCGACGGAUGGAUUCGUGCGCCAGGCCAGCGUGGAGUUCGGAACGACCGCUGAAUAAGUCCUUCGGAAAAUCAAACGAUUGAUUCUUUAUGCCGGUGGAUGUAACGGCCGAUCAAGGUAAACGUAUUCGGACGGGUUUUCUGAGCAACGGCAAUGUGUUAUACCUACUACGAUCAGGACAAAUCCGGUUGGACGCAAAUUAAGAACAUCCAAGUAAUUCUAUCGCCGCGGAGGGUUUUAUACGGGGAAAUUAGAGGAAAGUUCGGCCGAGGAUCUAGUACGCCAAAGCCAUGAUCGACCGCUGGCUGGUCCAUCAAAAUGCUUCCUCUUUUCGGCCGGUCCCGGUCCGGCGCAAGACUUAACUUCCGAUGAUGAAACUAGAUGGCUUCUUCAGCAAUGUCUCGAUCCACGAGCUGAUUGACGGCACCAAUGUGCUCGGGAGCAACUUGGAGCGUUUCGACAUGGAAGCUUCGCGGUUCUACAUUCCCCGAGGGCCGUUCUUCGUGCGAAGUGUGCUGACCGGUUCGAAGUGAGUCGAGAAGCAGCUUUGGCAGCCGGAUCCUGUGGGCCUGGAGCAAAACCAGCUACAUCUACUCGUCGGCGCAGCGGUUCGAGGCGCCCAAAGAACUGACACUGCGGUCUACCGGCAGGAUUUUGCGGAUGGUUCUAUACAGAGAAAUUUUUGAAGAAAAUUCUGCCAAAGGAUCAAACGCAGAAAAUCGAUCAUGCACAUCUUCGAUGCAGUGCUCUUGGGUGGUCUGGAAGUUCACCGAAGCCUUGAAUCGAGGCCCAUCAAAAUGGUUCCGUUGGCCUGUUCGGCCGGUGCAAAACUUUACUUUUAAUGAUGGAACUAGAUAGCUUAUUCAGCGAGGUAAUCGACAGCGCCAAGGUGCUCGAAAGCGACUUGAAGCAUUUCGAUGGGGCGGAAAUAAAGCUGUUCUACCUUCUCCGAAGGUCGCUCUUCGUGCGGAGUGUGAAGAAGUUCGAAAUGUGCCGAGGAGCAGCUGGAUUUUCGGAAGACUCGGCAGCUGGAUCAUGUGGACCUGGAGCAAAAAGAACCAGAUCUACUCGGCGCUGCCGUUCAAGGCGCCCAAAGAACCGAAACUGGUCUACCGGCAGGAUUUCGAUGCAUUCAUUGAGAAAUGCUCCGAUUUAAAGUGAGUGACGUGAAGUGGCGCUAUGUGUAAGGUAGUUUCGGAAUAAACUACCCAGUUUUAAAUUUAAGUCUCAGUAUGUAUUAUGAUGUUCAAUUAAUGUUCACAAUAAAAUAUCUUAUCUCUACAGUUAGGCACUCGGCUUGAAAUAAAAGCUAUUGUACUCAA